UACGAAGGGGGCUAGCGUUGCUCGGAAUUACUGGGCGUAAAGCGCACGUAGGCGGAUUGUUAAGUCGGGGGUGAAAUCCUGGAGCUCAACUCCAGAACUGCCUUCGAUACUGGCGAUCUCGAGUUCGGGAGAGGUGAGUGGAACUGCGAGUGUAGAGGUGAAAUUCGUAGAUAUUCGCAAGAACACCAGUGGCGAAGGCGGCUCACUGGCCCGGUACUGACGCUGAGGU
rnacentral:rRNA from 1 species